GGAGGAAAGCAGGGGAUCGCAAGACCUUGCGCUUUUGGAGCGGCCGAUGUCUGAUUAGCUAGUUGGUGGGGUAAAGGCUUACCAAGGCUUCGAUCAGUAGCUGGUCUGAGAGGACGACCAGCCACACUGGGACUGAGACACGGCCCAGACUCCUACGGGAGGCAGCAGUGGGGAAUUUUGGACAAUGGGGGAAACCCUGAUCCAGCCAUGCCGCGUGAGUGAAGAAGGCCUUCGGGUUGUAAAGCUCUUUCAGCCGGAACGAAAAGGUUACGGUUAAUACCCGUGACUAAUGACGGUACCGGAAGAAGAAGCACCGGCUAACUACGUGCCAGCAGCCGCGGUAAUACGUAGGGUGCGAGCGUUAAUCGGAAUUACUGGGCGUAAAGCGUGCGCAGGUGGUUUUGUAAGUCAGAUGUGAAAUCCCCGGGCUUAACCUGGGAACUGCGUUUGAAACUACAAGGCUAG
rnacentral:rRNA from 1 species